rnacentral:rRNA from 1 species
CCUACGGGACGCAGCAGUAGGGAAUCUUCCACAAUGGACGAAAGUCUGAUGGAGCAACGCCGCGUGAACGAGGAAGGUCUUCGGAUCGUAAAGUUCUGUUGAAGGGGAAAAAGAGCGGAGAGAGGAAAUGGUCUCCGAUUGAUAUUACCCUUCGAGGAAGUCGCGGCUAACUACGUGCCAGCAGCCGCGGUAAUACGUAGGUGGCGAGCGUUAUCCGGAAUGAUUGGGCGUAAAGGGUGCGUAGGCGGCCUGCUAAGUCUGGAGUGAAAGGUACCGGCUCAACCGGUACAGGCUCUGGAAACUGG